CGAAAGAUAGCUCAGUUCUCCAGGAGGACUCAAUCUGGCAGAGCAUGAGACUCUUCAUCUCAAGGUUGUGGGUUCGAAUCCCACGUUGGUCCCUUCCA